rnacentral:lncRNA from 1 species
GGCUGUCCAGGAGACUGCAGAUACGCUACCACUGGAGAAGAUAGUUCAGUUCUCCCUGUCACCUCCUGAGUCUUGAUAGACUCCCACAUUCCCCAGGUGAGCAGAUGUCUGGUUUUGGGGAUCUUUGCAAGGGGAAACAGUAUAAUACAGGACACAUAUUUUAUAAAAUUAUUUAUAAUAGUCACCCAGAGAAUCAUAUACAAGAGAGUGCAGGAAAUCUGUCCACAUACUAAAAAUCAAAGAAUCCAGCUGAGGGCCUGGAUCCCAAGAUAAUGUCCUGCAUGAGUCCAGGUGAAGACCUAGAGCCUAUAACAAUGCCUCCUAUGAAUCCAGCUGGAGGCCUAGAGCCCAUGACAAUGUCUCAUGCAGACCUGUUUCACGAACCUGCACUGGAAAGGCCAAAGGUCAGUGGUGGAAUCUAGAAAUUCUGUGCCAGCAGGAUGACAGAUCUGUGCUAGCAGGCUGGGGGAACUACACUGGAGCCAGGAAGCGACACUCAAAAUAAGAAGCAGAGCUUCCCCAAAAAGCACCACAGCCAUCCUCAGUAACAGUGAGGUCCUGAGCUCCUCCAAUGAUCAGGACAGCCGAGUUCCCAUUAGGAAAGCCAAUGUGACAAGCUUCUCCAAGAGACUGGCAGUGCCCCUUCUUCCCCUCCAGAGCCAGGAAGUGAUGCUCAGAGUGAGGACCAGAGCUCCCCAAAGUGAACCAAAGCCAUUCUCAGUGCCAGCAGGGUCCCAAGCUCCUUGGAAGAUGAAAACAGCCAAGUUCAUCAGGAAGGCCAGCAGGACAACCUCCUCCAAGAGAACCAACAGCUCCUUACCACUUCUGCCAGCUCCCAACAGCCUUUACUCAGAUCCCAACAGCCGUCCUCCUCCUCCUCCCAUUCUGCCUCUUAUGCUGCUGGCAACAGUCCCCAGAGGAGAAAAUCUACCUGAGGAGGCCCAGACAGCGUCAUCAUGAAUCCAGUGCUGCACUGGCCAGGCUCCAAGCAAUACAACUCCCCAUGGAAAUGCCAUUUUCACAGGAUGCUGUGUUUUUCUAUUUUUAACAAAGGAACACCAUUGUCUGGGGAUGAGAAAAGGUUUUGGCUCACGUGAAAGAAGCAAGUCUACUUGUGCCAGCAGAAGAGUGAUGUAUACUGAUAGCAUAAUCAAUUUUCUUGUCGAGGUAUG